AGCUUGCCCAGCCCUCGAGUCUCAGAGAAUGGAGCCCUUGCUGCCCUUUCUGCCUGAGCACUCACAGCUCAUUAAGAAGUGGAAGCACACGUCUGCAAUCACCGUGUAAUUACCUUGCUUCCUAAUUGGCAGCAGACAAGGCCGGCAGUCCCAACUGCAGCAGUGGACACCCUGCCAUCAGAAUCUGCUGGGGAGCUUUUCCAGAGUGUGGGUGUCAGUCCCACCCUGGCCUACUGGAUCGGAACCCAAAACCAAAAGCCCUGCCUCAGCGAGCAAGUUCAAAGUCAUUGGCCCAAAGGAAAAACUCCAAGUCCUUUGUUGGUCAUUCAGGGUGGUCAUGAGGGCUGACUGAGGAACAGGCUGUGCACACGCAGCUCAGGACCUUGUGAGAGCAUCAGGCCUGCCAACAACCCCAUGGUACAACAAGAAAAUGGCUGUGCUGGAGCCCUGGACGCCGGAAAUCUGAGAUGAAGGUGCCGGCAGGGCCCUGCCCGCUCUGAAGUCUCUGGGGGAAGCUUCUUUGCCUCUUCCAGCUUCUGGUGGCUCCACGCACUGCUGGGCUCGUGGCUGCCUCCCUCUGGUCUCUGCCCCGGUCUGCACGUGGCCUUCCCUGCGUGUUUCUGUGUCCUUGCUGCUGCUUAGAAGCACAGCAGCCAUUGGAUUAGGACCCACUCUCAUCCAGCAUGGCCUCAUCUUAACUCAUUACGUCUACAAAAUCUCCAUUUCCAAAUAAGGUCCCAUUCUGGGGUCCUGAGUGGACACGGCGGGGACACCAUCAACCCAUCCUAAGGCCUUCUUGGGCAGCCUCAGGGGGAAGCCGGACCAGCCUUAAGUGAAAGUGGAGGGUUCCAAGGAUCCUACAAAGGGGCCCUGACCCAGUCGGUGGGCAGCAGGGGACAGAGUGGACGUGGAACUUGUAGACAGACAGAACGAUGCACAGGACUCACCCCCACCACCAGAGGUCUGUGUGCAGAGACGACAGAGGGCAGCGUCCCUCCCACUGCCCAUCACCCAUGGAGUGUGGAAAAUCCCGGUCAAGACAGCAGCCCGGGCCGUGAAAUCGAAUCUGGGGGUCCCAAGCAUCGGCGUUUGUGCAGCUCUCGGUGGUUCCAAAGUCAGCCAAGAUCUCGGUUCUGGGCCGCCAGGGGCUCUGGAGUCAGACACCUCGUGUCUAAGUCUCCACCAGUUACUGACCGAGCGACCUCAGCAGUACGUUCACCGCUCCGGGUGUCCCUGUCCCCUGUGGAUGGCAUCAUUGCCUCCCUUAUGGAGAUGAGAAGAAUCAAACGGGAACGUUGGCUCCGUGCCUGUCACGAGGGAAGUGCUUGAUAGACGGUGCCCUUCUGCGCCACGUAGAGAGAAAACCGAGGGAGCCUCAUUUAAACUGCAGGCCUGGGAAGGCCUGUGGACUUUCAGGGAAGCUGAGAAGGGGCCCUGGCACCGGUCUGCAUGCCAGCUGGGCAGGGCAGGGUGAGCCUGGUGCAUAUACCUGGGGCCACACAGCAGGGCCUCAUGCUUCUUUUUUGGACCCACUUGACGGAUGGGGAGACUGAGUUCAGAGAGGCCAAGUGGCUUGCCAGGGUCACGCAGCUGAUACACAGCAAAUGGAUUUUAAACCCACCUGACCGCAAUUCCAAGCAUUGUUUUCUUGGGUCAAACCUUGGGAGCUCAAAGGGUGAUCCUGACCUGUGAUGGCUCCAUUUUAUGCAGAAUAUUUUGUUUUGUUUUUUAAUUUGCCUGUUUACUCUAAUGUUCCCAGUCGUUUUCCUCCCAGGGAUCCUCACUCACAAGUGGACUCUGACGGCCUCGGGGGCUCAGAUUUCACAAUCGGCUAAGGCUAACAUAAGGCCUUCCAGGUUACAAGGCUGAAAGUUAUUUUCCAUCAUUCAUUUGUUCACUUUACAUAACAUGCACCUAUUGAGCACCUGCUGUAUACUGGGAACCAAGUUAAACACCAGGUUUGCAGAGGUGGACAAGGCCCUGUUCCUGCCUCCAGGGUCUCCAACCCAUCAGGAGACGCAGGCCCUUUGACAGACACUGGUGAUAAAAUGACAGUGGAGGUCUGUUCAAGAUACAGGCAAGUUGGAUGGGUGGGGUGGGAAUGCCCACUGCCCUUGAGGGUGGGCAGGGGACAGAGGUGUCAUUUACGGUGGGUGUCAAGGAGUUUGGUUCAGAACAAGAGCAAAGGCGUGUGCCCCAGGAUGUGGGACAGCACGUGGGAAGACAAGGUGAGGCAGACUUUGGGGACUAUCAGGGGCUCCAAGUGGUUGGUGUUGGGGGUGUCGAGAAGUGGAGGUGGAGGCCAGGACAGGACAGGGGCUGGGUGAGAGGCUAGUGCAGACAGGCAGAGGGAGGCAUGGCAGGGCAGUGAUGGGAGGAGGAGGGCCGCUGGGGUAAGGUGUAGUCUCAGUAGUUCCGUGGGUCUGGCUGCUUCCCAGGAGCUGACUAGACCCUCAUGGCCAAGUUCAUAGUCCUAUGCAGUCUGACCUUAGCCUACCUGCCCAGCCCAAUCCCUCUGCAGCUGCCACUCACACCUUCCAGCCGAGAACAUCUUCCCAGCUAGGAAACCGUCACACCUGUACACCUUUGCACCUGCUUGUCCCCUCACUCCCUGGGGCAUGCCCACCCGUGCAUCAGUUGAAGCCCAAAUGUGCCAUCAUCUGAGAAACAUUCCCAGUGUCCCCACAAAAAGAGGCUGGUGCCUCCUCUCGGCCACUGCAGCCUGGACAUCUGCCUAUUCAUUCAUGCUGUCGCCACACUGCACUGCCAUGGCUCAUGUAUGUGAGUUUCCUCUUCCCUGCUGUUGAGUGUAGGCUUCUUAAUUAUCUCUAUAUAUCACUAGCCCCUAGGAACAAGGUUCGCCACACAGUAGCUGCUCAGGGCUUUUGAUGAAAGAAGGAAUGAGAUUGCUGGCAAGGUAGGUGGGGGGAUGGUGGGAUGGAUGGAUGGAUGACUGGAUGG
rnacentral:lncRNA from 1 species